CCCUUCUCUUUAAAGCACCCUGUUGGAACUGCAGGAGUGGAACCGCAGCGGUUUGGCUCGUGUGGCUGUGUCAGCAUGGGUACAUCAGGGAAGGAGAUCAGAGCACUGCAUCGUAAACGAGACCAGGAAGGGCCUCUUUCUUAAUGUCCGCUUUCCUCCGUCUCUUGGUGCAGUGCUACAUUU
ensembl:snoRNA